rnacentral:lncRNA from 1 species
ACCUGCUCGGGUGCCCUUCCACACUGUGGAAGCUUUGUUCUUUUGCUGUUUGCAAUAAAUCUUGCUACUGCUCACUCUUUGGGUCCACGCUGCUUUUAUGAGCUGUAACACUCACCGUGAAGGUCUGCAGCUUCACUCCUGAAGCCAGCGAGCCCACGAGCCCACCGGGAGGAACGAACAACUCCAGACGUGCCGCCUUAAGAGCUGUAACACUCACCGCCAAGGUCUGCAGCUUCACUCCUGAGCCAACGAGACCACGAACCCACCAGAAGGAAGAAACUCCGAACACAUCAGAAGGAACAAACUCCAGACGCGCCACCUUAAGAGCUGUAACACUCACCGCGAGGGUCCCCGGCUUCAUUCUUGAAGUCAGUGAGACCAAGAACCCACCAAUUCCACACACAUUUUGGCGACCCAGAUGGGACUUUCGCCUAUCGCCAAGCAGUGAGACAAUCGCCGAGCGGCAAGACCAUCACCUAUUGCCAAGCAAAUCGAGGCCAUCAAGCUACAGAUGGUCUUACAAACAGAACCCCAAAUGAGUUCAACUAACAACUUCUACCGAGGACCCCUGGACCGACCUGCUGGCACUUCCCCUGGCCUAGAGAGUUCCCCUCCGAAGGACACUACAACUGCAGGGCCCCUUCUUCACCCCUAUCCAGCAGGAAGUAGCUAGAGCAGUCAUCAG